rnacentral:rRNA from 1 species
CCUACGGGGGGCAGCAGUGAGGAAUAUUGGUCAAUGGGCGGGAGCCUGAACCAGCCAAGCCGCGUGAGGGAAGAAGGUACAGCGGAUCGUAAACCUCUGUUGUCAGGGAACAAAGGCGGGGACGAGGCCCCGGAUGAGGGUACCGGAAGAAAAAGCAGCGGCUAACUCCGUGCCAGCAGCCGCGGUAAUGCGGAGGAUGCGAGCGUUAUCCGGAUUUAUUGGGUUUAAAGGGUGCGCAGGCGGGAAGACAAGUCAGAUGUGAAAUCCCGCGGCUCCACCGCGGAACUGCAUUUGAAACUGUUUUUCUUGAGUACCGGAGCGGUCAUCGGACUUCCUUGUGUAGCGGUGACAUGCGUAGAUAUCAGGCAGAACACCAGUGGCGAAGGCGGCUGACUGGCCGGCCACUGCCGGUGCGGCGCGACAGCGUGGGGCGCAAACAGGAUUAGCUACCCGAGUAGUC